rnacentral:lncRNA from 1 species
UGUCUAAUCUUUGUCCCUGCUCUUUUUACCUAGAUCAAAUUCAGGAAUUACAUAAUUGGCUACAAGAGGAAUGAGUGGGUGCCUUAAGGGGUCAUCUGUUCUGCUACUUCACAAUAAAUCUGAAUGAAUUCCUAUUUCAAUGAAAGUGGUCACUAGAGAGAAAUGGAACAGAAUUUCAUCCCUAGGUUUUAACACUGAAACUGGAAAAAUAAAAGUCAAUUCUCAGUCCAUCUGAUGACACCACGAAUCUGGGAAUGAAGAACUUCUUAGUGCUGAUUGGAAAUGGCAUUGCGGAGCUGAAACUUAACUGGAGGAAAUAUAUCUCCUGAAGAAGAAAAUAUAAUGCACUGUAAGGAUCUGACUUCUGGUGAAAAAUUCAAGCCUAGAGAAAGCUUGUCCGCUUUGUUAGGAAGAAUGGGUUGGACAAUUUUCUUCAAUUCCAAAGGAUAUCUGAAUGCCAUGCUGAGCUUAAUCUCUGCAGCAUGCUCUGUGCUUCUCAUCUCUUCCUGAUGCACUGCAUGGUUAUCCUGAAGGGGAGGAUAAAGAAACUGGCCACCAAGAUGGUAAUCACUAGUGGAAAUGAAGAAGAUAAAGGCAGUCAAGAAAAGGAAAGCAAAGAAGAGACCAUCUUGGCAAUGCUUGGAAUUAUUGGGACAAUUCUGAACCUCAUUGUGAUCAUUUUUGUGUAUAUUUACACAACAUUGUAAACUAGAAGGCAUGCAAAUAGACCAGAUAAAACGGCCAUUGAGUGACUACAAACAUUUGCUGACUAUUGACAAGUUGUUUAAUCAGAAUUGACUGUGUAUUAUAUUAACACAUCAUAAAAGCACUGCCCGCAGGCAGCGAAGGCUGAAGCACAAUUAAUUUAACAAGACUUUUUCACACAGUAACAAGCUUAACUCUUCUGUCCUGCCCUCUUCCUUUCGGUUUGGGGGAAAAUGACUGCAAUUAUGUAAGUUGUAGCUUGGAAGAAGUCCACCUGGGAUAUGUUGUUUUAACACAAUUUAAAAAGAAAAAAAAAAAAAGAGAGAAACUGUACACUAUAUACAACUAGAAAUGUAUACUGUAUACCCGCAAAGAUCGAACUCAAAGAUAGCUUCAUAGCACAGACCACGUGUCCGUUAGGUCAAAUGAUUUUUUUUCUCUUGGUUUUUGCUUUUGCUUACAUUGAAUCUGACAAGCUUUUUAUUUAGAAUGAACAUAUGGUGCAAUCAGGAAAAAAAAACAAUUCCAUUGAGCAAGGUCCGCCUAAACCUGAUAAAAUGUUGGGAGAAAUACGUUACAUGAUUAUUUUUCCUUUCUCAUUUGCUUAACAUCUGUGUCUGUUCAUACCAAUGUUUAUAAAUAUAUAUUUUUAAUAAAUGUGCUAUAUUUUUAGCA